AUGAAUGUGGUGGAACGUCCUAGUGGAGGAUUUUCUGCUGGUGGCGGGAUAUCAAGUGGGAUUACAAGUGGUCCACGCAGAGGACUUAUUGGAAGGCGCGGAGAAUUGAUGAAGCUUGAUAAGGAUAAUGAGGCUAGGCCGUUAGCGCACAGUGCAAGGAAUUGUUGCGCACAGAGAAGAUUGAAGGAUGGUGCUGACGAAGAAAAUAGAGGCGGAUCUACCGUUAUCGUUGACGUGCUGGAUGCAGAGAGAGGGAGUUAG